rnacentral:rRNA from 1 species
AUGGCGGCGGCGACCGAGGUCUACUCUCCGACGCCGGCGGAGCAGCAUCGGGAGCAGGCGGCGUGGCGGGCGGUGGUGGGUUGGCUCGGGCUCCUCCUGCAGGUCCUUCUCCAGGUCAUCCGCGGCGCGCCCUCCUCCCUGGCGAAGCUCCUCAGGUCCCUCGGCCUCCGCCACCCCCUCCUCUCUGCCGCCCCCGCGGUGACCUUCGUGCAGCUCCCCUCCAAGGCCCCCGCCGACGACUUGCCGCCCCUGUCUCCGCCGCCUGGGCGGCUCACGGUAGUGUUGGACUUGGAUGAAACAUUAGUCUGUGCAUACGAGUCGUCGAGCCUUACUGCCGCCGUGCGAACCCACGCGGUCGAAGCAGGGCUGCAUUGCUUUGACAUGGAGUGCAUAUCAUCCGACAAGGAUGCCAAAGGCAGACAGAGGGUGAAUCAUGUAACUGUCUUCGAGCGUCCUGGUUUACAAGAGUUUUUGCAGAAAACUAAUGAAUUUGCCGAUCUUAUACUCUUCACCGCUGGUUUGGAAGGAUAUGCAAAGCCUUUGGUUGACAGGAUAGAUGCUCACAAUAGGUUCUGUCGCCGUCUCUACAGACCAUCAACUGUUACUACGGAAUAUAGAGACCAUGUGAAGGAUCUUUCUUGUUUGUCCAAAGAUUUCCGUAGAAUUGUGCUUGUCGAUAACAAUCCAUAUAGCUUCCUACUACAGCCGUUAAAUGGGAUACCGUGCCUUACGUUUUCAGCUGGACAGCCCAUGGAUGAUCAGCUUAUGAGAGUGAUAUUUCCGCUUCUCAAGCGCCUCUCUCUCCAAAAUGAUGUGAGGCCGGCAUUGCAUGACGCGUUUCACAUGCCAGAGUGGUUCCAAAGAAAUGGGAUCCCACAAAUUGACCAGGGAAUGUAA